CUUACCUCGUGCCAUAUAUGAAGAACCGUGCAGGUCUAGAUCAAGCAUUCUCCAGGACCAUCACAGAAGACGCAACUGACGUUUCUAGAAUAUUUCAGCACUUUAUCACGUCAUAGAGGUCGGAGUAUAAGAUUUGAAGUGGCCCAAAGCAAGACCUUAGAUGCAUACUCGCAUCUUGAAAUAUAAACAUACUGCAUCUUAAAUUCUGUUAAAACUGAAUAAUAAAGUACUCUGAAUAAAAUCUUUCAAAUCACAGAGGUUUUGUCAGGCUGAGUCACAAGCUUAAACUUUACAAAGGCAUCUGAGCAUGUGUGUGUUCAGUUGAUCUGUGCUUACAAAAAUCAUGUAGUGGCAUGGAUUGCAUUUAACGCGCGCGCACACACACAUACACACCACACCACACCCUGAAUUAAAAUUAUAUUAAAAAAAAAAAAAAAACUGCUAGAGUGAUUUUCAUUUGAUGUUGGGACAAGAAAAGACCUGUGUUAUUCCAGGCCCUGACACCGAGGGUGUUGCGUUCACCUCUCUACUGAUGCGAUUAAGAUCUCCUAUCCAAUGCUAUCCCAGAAGAAUGGAAAUCUAGGCAUUCAUGUGGCAUCAUGUCUCAAUCUUCCGCCAGGACGUCCCACCGCUGCAAAGUUUACAUGUCUCACUAAAGAGCAUAAUCAGCCAAACAUAUAAACCUUAAACUCAAGCUCUUGAAAGCAACAGUGAGGCAAGGCAAGGAACUUCUCUUCAAACUAAUGCACUCUUUGGCAAAGAGCCGAACAUCAAAAUGUCUCUUCAACAUGAUAUUGAUGUCUCUCAGAAUUUCACUGCCAGCGUUUUCAAAUCAGCACUUGCAAUCUUAUCAAAGAAUGCACUGAUUCUAUCAUUUUUACAGCCCAGAAAAUGCAACUUGAGAACAUGGUGCUUGGGGACCUAUGGUUUAUUUGCAAUAGUAGAAAUGUGUAGUGGGCUGGAAGGCUUACAUUGGGCAUCCUUUACUGUUCAUUUUAGUUUUUUAGUAAAAGGGAUCUGUCAUGCCUAAUCAACAUUCAGAUUAAAUAUGUUGUACUGCUUUUGCAUGCUUGAGUACUAGUAAAUGGGUCUGACGUGACUUUAUGAAUCA